UUGGAGGGCAAGUCUGGUGCCAGCAGCCGCGGUAAUUCCAGCUCCAAUAGCGUAUAUUAAAGUUGUUGCGGUUAAAAAGCCCGUAGUUGAAUUUCGGGGUCAGUAGGCUGGUCGUGCCACGGGUAUGUACUGGUCUCACUGAUUCCUCCUUCCUGAUGAACCGUAAUGCCAUUAAUUUGGUGUUGCGGGGAAACUGGACUGUUACUUUGAAAAAAUUAGAGUGUUUAAAGCAGGCUAACGCUUGAAUACAUUAGCAUGGAAUAAUGAAAUAGGACGUUCGAUCCUAUUUUGUUGGUUUCUAGGAUUGACGUAAUGAUUAAUAGGGAUAGUUGGGGGCAUUAGUAUUCAAUUGUCAGAGGUGAAAUUCUUGGAUUUAUUGAAGACCAACUACUGCGAAAGCAUUUGCCAAGGAUGUUUUCAUUAAUCAAGAACGAAAGUUAGGGGAUCGAAGACGAUCAGAUACCGUCGUAGUCUUAACCAUAAACUAUGCCGACUAGGGAUCGGAUGAUGUUAAUUUUUUAAUGACUCAUUCGGCGCCUUACGGGAAA
rnacentral:rRNA from 1 species